UUUGAAAUCUGGCGUCUUCGGCGUCCGAGUUGUAAUUUGUAGAGGAUGCUAUUGAGUUGUCACCGGUCUAAGUUCCUUGGAACAGGACGUCAUAGAGGGUGAGAAUCCCGUAUGUGACCGGCCAGACGCUCUCUGUAUAGCUCCUUCGACGAGUCGGGUUGUUUGGGAAUGCAGCCCUAAAUGGGAGGUAAAUUUCUUCUAAAGCUAAAUACCGGCCAGAGACCGAUAGCGCACAAGUAGAGUGAUCGAAAGAUGAAAAGCACUUUGGAAAGAGAGUUAAAAAGCACGUGAAAUUGUUGAAAGGGAAGCGCUUGCAAUCAGUCUCGACGGCGGCUGUUCGGCCUCUCUUCUGAGUGGUUUAUUCAGUCGCCGCCGGGCCAGCAUCAGUUCUGGCGGUCGGAUAAAGACGCGGGGAAUGUAGCUCCUCUCGGGGAGUGUUAUAGCCUCGCGUGCAAUACGGCCUGCCGGGACUGAGGUCCGCGCUUCGGCUAGGAUGCUGGCGAAAUGGUUGUAAGCGGCCCGUCUUGAAACACGGACCAAGGAGUCUAACAUCUAUGCGAGUGUUUGGGUGUCAAACCCGUACGCGUAAUGAAAGUGAACGGAGGUGGGAACCGCAAGGUGCACCAUCGACCGAUCCUGAUGUCUUCGGAUGGAUUUGAGUAAGAGCAUAGCUGUUGGGACCC
rnacentral:rRNA from 1 species